UCUCCGUAGGUGAACCUGCGGAAGGAUCAUUCAUAAUAAGUGUUUUAUGGCACUUUUUUAAAUCCAUAUCCACCUUGUGUGCAAUGUCAGGGUUGACUUUUCUCUCGAGAGGAUCAACCCCAAACAUCAACUAUAUCUCAACUCUUUGUCUGAAAAAUAUUAUGAAUAAAACAAUUCAAAAUACAACUUUCAACAACGGAUCUCUUGGCUCUC
rnacentral:misc_RNA from 1 species